UACGUAGGGACCAAGCGUUGUUCGGAUUUACUGGGCGUAAAGGGCGCGUAGGCGGCGCGACAAGUCACUUGUGAAAUCUCUGAGCUUAACUCAGAACGGCCAAGUGAAACUGUUGUGCUAGAGCGCAGAAGGGGCAAUCGGAAUUCUUGGUGUAGCGGUGAAAUGCGUAGAUAUCAAGAGGAACACCUGAGGUGAAGACGGGGUUGCUGGGCUGACACUGACGUGAAGCGCGAAAGCCAGGGGAGCGAACGGG
rnacentral:rRNA from 1 species